CUCAUAACUUAAAAGAAUUACUCUCCUACUCGUGCAUUCUGAAAACAAUUCUCAAGAAAAAAGACUUCAAUAUCAGUUAUCGCUAUAUAAUUUUACUUAAUUAACUAUAACCAUUACACUUCUUCUAUCAACAUAGCUUCCAUAGAAAUUGGAUAUCGAGGCAUGUACAAAACAAAAAAUAACGAAACUAUGAUUGAGGAGCGAUUGGAG
rnacentral:lncRNA from 1 species